UUCGUUGGUGGAGUGAUUUGUUUGGUUGAUUCCAGAAACGAACGAGAUCUCAUCCCCUCAAUAGGAAUGGGGUCGAUUACAGGUCGUUUUGUCGGGUCUUCGGACUGCGAACGCGACCUUGACACCCAUUGCCUUCUUAGGGGAACAUCGUGCGUCUGUUAGCACGAUGGAGCGAGCCAAUAGCAGGU
rnacentral:rRNA from 1 species